UCUGUCCUCCCAGGUCCUGAAAGGAGGUGGAGGCAGGAGGAUCAAAAAUGAAAGGUCAUCAAAGGCGCUCUCGUUGCGUUCUGCUGCUAUGCGCUGAGGAAGGGAUUAUUUCAGCUGACUGAGACUUGAACAGGAACUGAAGCAGACACCACGAAGGAAUACUGCUUCCUGGCUCAUUCUCAGCCUGGUUUCCCAUGCAGCCACCCACCCUCAGAUUACAUUGCCUGCAUCAAUCACCAGUCAAGACUACCUCUCACAGCCACUACCUCUCACAGCCAUGGCCAUAGGCCAUCUGAUCAAGCCUGUCCUGGAACUUGAGCUAAGGAUGAUGGUCUUGAACUCCUGACCUGUGGGAAGCACAGAGAUUCUUUGAGCUCACAGGCAAGCACUAGAGAAACCUGGAGUGAUCUGGAUAUGGAACUCUCUGCU